rnacentral:rRNA from 1 species
CUUGAACGCUGGCGGCAUGCCUUACACAUGCAAGUCGAACGGUAACAGGCCGCAAGGUGCUGACGAGUGGCGAACGGGUGAGUAAUGCAUCGGAACGUGCCCAGUCGUGGGGGAUAACGCAGCGAAAGCUGCGCUAAUACCGCAUACGAUCUAUGGAUGAAAGCGGGGGACCGUAAGGCCUCGCGCGAUUGGAGCGGCCGAUGUCAGAUUAGGUAGUUGGUGGGGUAAAGGCUCACCAAGCCGACGAUCUGUAGCUGGUCUGAGAGGACGACCAGCCACACUGGGACUGAGACACGGCCCAGACUCCUACGGGAGUCAGCAGUGGGGAAUUUUGGACAAUGGGCGCAAGCCUGAUCCAGCAAUGCCGCGUGCAGGAAGAAGGCCUUCGGGUUGUAAACUGCUUUUGUACGGAACGAAACGGUCCUGGUUAAUACCUGGGGCUAAUGACGGUACCGUAAGAAUAAGCACCGGCUAACUACGUGCCAGCCGCCGCCGUAACAC